rnacentral:lncRNA from 1 species
AGUGUGAGCAGCGAGCGAAUGAGCAAGAGCGUGUGACAACAGAGGAUGACAGGCUGUGAGGUUCGAAGCAGGAAGGACACACUCCAUAAGUCUCGGCACUGCUCAUCAGCCCAUGUGUCAGCACGCUCUUGCUGAUGGGAGCAGCGGGGAGAAACGCCAUACUGGGAAGUCACUGCUGGUGUGGGACAAGUUACAAGAUGCUUCUGGGGGAGGAAAAUGUGUAUCAUCAACUCCUCAGGACAGUGAAGCCUGCUCAGUCUAGACUUACAUGAGAGACUACUCAAUGACUCUCACAGAAAAGAGAUCUUCCCAAGGUGACAUCUUCUCCUCCUAAGCCAAUAAGGUCAUCUUACUCACAGUCCACUUCCAGGAACUGACCCCAAAUGGACAGAAUCUACUUAUAUCAUGGCACAGCUGUCAACUUCUCUUGCUAAAGAAGAGAAUAACGCUCACAAAAUUGCCCCAGAUGGCGGUGCAACAUUUUUGGGCCAAGUACUACAACUGAAAAGCAUGAACAGAGUUUUACCAGCGGGUUACAGCUCUUGUUUAACUUCUAGAAAACUAGUGACAUGCUCUUGGAGAAGCCCCUCUUACAGAAGGCCAAAGAAGCUGAGAAAGCACAGAGGAAAUAAUCAAGGCUCACCUGGGAAAGCAACACAGCUUCACCAUCAUUCUCUCGUCCCUGAGAAAAUAAAUCAAAACAAACAAGUAUAUUGAGCACUGGGUGUUCAAAACCACAUGAA